GAACUCGACAUUACUCAUUAAUGUGGUAAAAAUACACAUUAUUUGACGACAUAUGGAGUUGUCAAAAUAAUGGAUAUUUUUUAAUUUCUUGUUAUGAGUAAAUUAUGCCCAUUUUACACCUCCGAAUAUUAACCCAUUAAUGGGUGAAAAUUUAGUUGACGCGCAAUGAAAACGUUACGCACUUGAUGUGGAAGCGCAGCGAAAAUUUGUUUUGUGGAAAUUAAACUGAAAGGAAAUAAAUUGGCCUUCAUCGUGAUUUUGAUUCCGCUGCAGUAUUUGGUGAAGACUUUCGAAUGGAGAAUGCAAAGCUUAUGUCAUCGGGGAUAUGCUGGUUGUUCAAGUGAUAUCUCUUGCAUCAUCAAAUCUCCGGCUGCUAUCGAAGCGGAAUAAGCUUCUCCCGAGCGGGAUCUGCGUCAGCAUGUGCCCUCUUCUAAAAUGAACUGCACUCGUAAGUGACGGUUCGAGGCCUUUUCGGGGACUCGGGUGGUGUUAAGGAUCGGGUAGUUUUGCAGAAGCAUCUCGGAAGUCAUCUCGAAAGGCUGCGAUUAGAUCCUGCUUACUGGACUCGCCCGAUUCGAUAUGUUACUUUCUCACAAGGGCGAGGCACCUCAGAGGAAGACAAGGAACAUGGAAGGCGUUCGCAGGAUUCGCAGUAAUACGCAUAUGUAUACUAUUGAAUAUAAUGUUUGUGUAUC